rnacentral:rRNA from 1 species
GUCUAUGGCCCUUCCACCCUGAACGUGCCCGAUCUCCUCUGAUCUCAGAAGCUAAGCAGGGUGGGACCUGGUAAGUCCUUGGAUGGGAGACAAAUGUUCGUUAGCUCAGGUUUGGGUU